UGCCACACAUCUCUCCAGGAGAUGUGGACACCCAGAAAUCUGAAGCUGGUGAUACACUCCACUUCAGUCCCAUUGAUGAGAAUGGGGGUGUGUGCUAGCUUUAGACUUCCUGAAGUCCACAAUGAGCUCUUUGGUCUUCAAUAAUUCUGUUAACAGGACUUGCAGGAAAUUGUGGGAACAUAUGAA